rnacentral:rRNA from 1 species
AUUGAACGCUGGCGGCAGGCCUAACACAUGCAAGUCGAACGGUAGCACAGAGAGCUUGCUCUCGGGUGGCGAGUGGCGGACGGGUGAGUAACGUCUGGGAAACUGCCCGAUGGAGGGGGAUAACUACUGGAAACGGUAGCUAAUACCGCAUAACGUCGCAAGACCAAAGUGGGGGACCUUCGCGCCUCCCACCAUCGGAUGUGCCCAUAUGGGAGUAGCUAGUAGGUGGGGUAAUGGCUCACCUAGGCGACGAUCCCUAGCUGGUCUGAGAGGAUGACCAGCCACACUGGAACUGAGACACGGUCCAGACUCCUACGGGAGGCAGCAGUGGGGAAUAUUGCACAAUGGGCGCAAGCCUGAUGCAGCCAUGCCGCGUGUAUGAAGAAGGCCUUCGGGUUGUAAAGUACUUUCAGCGGGGAGGAAGGCGGUGAAGUUAAUAACUUCACCGAUUGACGUUACCCGCAGAAGAAGCACCGGCUAACUCCGUGCCAGCCGCCGCGGUAA